rnacentral:misc_RNA from 1 species
GAUGAAGAACGUAGCGAAAUGCGAUAAGUAAUGUGAAUUGCAGAAUUCAGUGAAUCAUCGAAUCUUUGAACGCACAUUGCGCCCGCCAGAAUACUGGCGGGCAUGCCUGUCCGAGCGUCAUUUCAACCCUCGAACCCCUCCGGGGGGUCGGCGUUGGGGAUCGGCCCUCCCUUAGCGGGUGGCCGUCUCCGAAAUACAGUGGCGGUCUCGCCGCAGCCUCUCCUGCGCAGUAGUUUGCACACUCGCAUCGGGAGCGCGGCGCGUCCACAGCCGUUAAACACCCAACUUCUGAAAUGUUGACCUCGGAUCAGGUAGGAAUACCCGCUGAACUUAAGCAUAUUAAUAAGCGGAGGA